rnacentral:rRNA from 1 species
AAACAUUUCUUUUUGUGUUGUAUAAAAAGUAUAUUCUGCCCUAUGAUUAUUUUAAAUGGCUGCAGUAUAUUGACUGUGCAAAGGUAGCAUAAUAAUUAGUUUUUUAAUUGGAGGCUGGUAUGAAUGAGUGAAUGUAAUAUAUAUUUUAUUUAUUUUAAUACUAAAAUUUAAAUUUUAGGUUAAAAUGCUUAAUUAAAUUCUAGGGACGAUAAGACCCUAUAGAACUAUAUAUUUAUUAUAUUUAAUAAUUAUUUAUAUAUAUAUGAAUUUUUUAACUUUUUUAAAUGAUUUGCUGGGGUGGUAUAUAAAUUUUAACUUUAUAAUUUUUAUUCAUUUUAGUUGUUUUUUUGAUCUUUUUUUUUGAUUAUUAGAUUAAGUUACCUUAGGGAUAACAGCGUAAUAAUGAUGGGGAGUUCAUAUCUAUAUCAAUUUUUGCGACCUCGAUGUUGAAUUAAGAUAAUUUCAGGAAGUAGUCCUCUUGAAGUUAAGUCUGUUCGACUUUUAAAUUCUUACAUGAUCUG